GGGUCAAUGAUGAGAACCCUAUAUCGUGUUGAAGAGAGGUGAUGACUUAAAAUUACCAUGCUCAAUGAUUACGCUGAGGCCC
ensembl:snoRNA SNORD115 Small nucleolar RNA SNORD115